rnacentral:rRNA from 1 species
CAGCAGCCGCGGUAAUACAGAGGUCUCAAGCGUUGUUCGGAUUCAUUGGGCGUAAAGGGAGCGUAGGCGGUCGGGUAAGUUGGAUGUGAAAUCCUGGGGCUCAACCUCAGAACUGCAUUCAAUACUGCUUGGCUAGAGUAUUGGAGAGGUGAGUGGAAUUCACGGUGUAGCAGUGAAAUGCGUAGAUAUCGUGAGGAAGACCAGCGGCGAAGGCGGCUCACUGGACAAUUACUGACGCUGAUGCUCGAAGGCUAGGGGAGCAAACGGGAUUAGAUACCCCUGUAGUCCCUGUCUCUUAUAC